CACGUAGGGCGCAAGCGUUGUCCGGAAUUAUUGGGCGUAAAGAGCUCGUAGGCGGUCUGUUGCGUCCGCUGUGAAAACUCGGGGGCUUAACCCCGAGCCUGCAGUGGAUACGGGCAGACUAGAGGUAGGUAGGGGAGAAUGGAAUUCCCGGUGUAGCGGUGAAAUGCGCAGAUAUCAGGAGGAACACCGGUGGCGAAGGCGACUUACUGGACUGUAACUGACGCUGAGGCAUGAAAGCGUGGGGAGCAAACAGG
rnacentral:rRNA from 1 species